CGCCCCGUGUUCUCCCUCCCACUUCGCGUGUGUCAGCGUGUGUUGGUGCAAGUGAUCCUUUCCGUAGUAAUCCCGUGUCAUCCUAGGCUCAGUCCUACCGUGGUUCAUCCCCCGUGGACCACAGCAACUCCAGGCCCCCGGCAAGUGAACAAAAUUUCUGUACCUUGCGACCCGCUUCCUCAGGUGGCAGCCUUCACUACAUCUGUGGAGCUGCAGACACUUGAGGGCAAGUGUUGGUAGUGUGUGGCCCCUGACUGCCCGCCGCUGUGACGUGCCUGAGUCGCGCAACUUCGACACUAUACAAGACAUAUUUUCUUCGGUAGUCGCUUACCUGACACAGCACGCAGCCUCUCCUGCUUCGCCCGCCUGGUGUGACUCAGCCCUGGUCCCGGCGGUCAGUAAUGCCGUAAUGGGAGCGUUAGCAGGUAGAACGGUGUGACGAGAGGGAGUGUUCGCUGUACUGAGCGGCGACAGUGAUACCAACGGCUGUGAGUGUUAUUAUCAUUUGUCUUUUUUAUUGUUACCGCAGGACCAUCUGUGUGUGUGUGUGUGUGUGUGUGUGUGUGUGUGUGUGUGUGUGUGUGUGUGUGUGUGUGUGUGUGUGUGUGUGUGUGUUUUAAAAUAUACGUACAGUUCAGUCAUUUAAUUUCCAGACAGUUAAAUGUUCCUCAUGUGAGUGAAGAAUUUAGCAAGUCCAUGUGAAGCCAAAACAAAAACCCUACAAGAAAAAAAGUUAACAGAUUCCCACGGUUAGAUAAACAAAAAGAAAGAGAAAAAUAGAAUAAAAUAAAUGAAUAUAAUAUAAAACCGACUCAAGAAAUUAGGGAAAAAAACGAAAACGCCUGUGGACUGACUAGCUUAUUUUCAGUUACCUUCGUUCACACUCAGUACCUGUCCAACUAGCAGGUGAGACGGAGGGCGAAGGAGGAAAAAAAUGUGUACUUAGUCACUUCCGCUCAGG